rnacentral:lncRNA from 1 species
GCUUUCAUUCAUCAGGUAUCAGCAUCAAUUGACCAUUGAUGAUCUUCUUUUAUGUGAAUUCUGGGCAACAGGGGUUCUGAAACAUUAAAAGUGUUAUAUGACUUUUUUGAAUCUGGUGGUUUAUCCUCAACAACUGUGUUAACUGUGUUAACAUUUGCACUGAUGGUGCAAAAAUGGUGGAUUUUAUCCAAUGGUGGGUAAAAUGACUGGUGUCUUAGCACGAAUUAAGGCAAUGGCACCAAAUUUUAUUAGUAGUCAUUGUAUUCUUCACCACCACACAUUCGUAGUAAAAAAAAAAAAACAGUUUUACUAAAAUAAUGUCCUUGAUGAAGUUGUAAAUAUUACAUUUCCAACAUAUGCUUUUUGGGGACACAUUCAAACCAUUGCAAAUACUAAUAUUGAACAAAGUAGAAUAAAUGAUGAAAUUUUUCAGUGUCAAAGAAGGAUACUUUAUUAUGCUAAAAUGUACAAUUCACCAACUACCCAUAAGUUACAAGCCUUCAUAUCCUAAACAAGUCUUUGAAAUUUAGGGAAAAAAAUGUGCUUUGU